AUACGUAGGGGGCGAGCGUUGUCCGGAAUGAUUGGGCGUAAAGGGCGCGUAGGCGGCCCGGUAAGUCUGGAGUGAAAGCCCUGUUUUUAAGAUGGGAAUUGCUUUGGAAACUGUCGGGCUUGAGUGUAGGAGAGGUAAGUGGAAUUCCCAGUGUAGCGGUGAAAUGCGUAGAGAUUGGGAGGAACACCAGUGGCGAAGGCGACUUACUGGACUGUAACUGACGCUGAGGCGCGAAAGUGUGGGGAGCAAACAGGAUUAGAUACCCUGGUAGUCCACACUGUAAACGAUGAAUGCUAGGUGUAGGGGGUAUCGACCCCUUCUGUGCCGCAGUCAACACAAUAAGCAUUCCGCCUGGGGAGUACGGCCGCAAGGUUGAAACUCAAAUGAAUUGACGAGG
rnacentral:rRNA from 1 species